rnacentral:lncRNA from 1 species
GAAGAUUAGACUUUGCCAACAUCUUCUUCCAGACUGCGUCUCUUGGAUCUAAAUCACUGGGAAAGGAUGUGGGCUCUUAAACUGUACAACUGUGAGCUCUGUGGGAGUGAUUUUGUGAGCUGCACGGCUCUGAGGUAUCACUUUCAACAGAAGCAUCUUGGAAAAGUUCACUGCGAAAAAUGUGGCCAAGAAGUCCUGGGGGAUAAGCUCCAAGAUCACAGCAAGUCUAUAUCUCACAGGUCAACCAUGGAGACACACAGGCUAAACUGGGUAAAUCUAGAAGAAAGGAAUAUAAUGCAUAAGGCUACAAAAAUAUCAAAAUCCUGUAGAAUGUGUUGUAGGCACUUUGGAACAAUCCUUAGUCGGGAGAACCAUGAAAGACAAGAGCAUCACUUCACAGCCAGUAAAAGAGCCCAAAUGUCCACAGGAUUUUCACCUCAUAAUAUGUUGGAAUGUAAAGGUUCCCAAGAACUACAGAGAUUUGCAGACAAAAAAAUCCACCCUGCCUCAGGUUCUCAGAGAGCUGCUUGUGUGGCUGAAAUAGAUGCCUUCCUCCAGCUGAUCCAGGGUUGCUUUCCGGUACCCAUCUCCCGAGUGAUCCAGGGUGGUUCUUAUGUAAAGGGGACUGAUACUCAAGGAUGCUCUGAGAUCGACAUCGUGUUGCUCAGUGAUGUGUUUGGCAGUGUGAACCAUUCCAAGAAACAACUGAGAGAAGGACUGGAGGCUAUGAGGGAAAACCUGAAGCGAACUUCACAGGGGAACAGGAUCCUAAUGGGGAAGAGAACAUCACUGUCUUUAAGAUUCAAUUAUUUAUGCACUGAAAGUCUUCACAGCCAUUCCUUUGAGAUCAUGGCCUACUAUGAUGUGCUGGGGCCUACACCUUCCACAGGUAAGAUUGAUUGAUUUGUUUCACAGGAAAUCUUUAAAAUGGCUGUUCAUUCAUUAUGUAUUUAUAGAGGACUGACCACAUC